rnacentral:rRNA from 1 species
GUAGUCCACGCCGUAAACGUUGGGAACUAGAUGUAGGGGCCAUUCCACGGUUUCUGUGUCGCAGCUAACGCAUUAAGUUCCCCGCCUGGGGAGUACGGCCGCAAGGCUAAAACUCAAAGGAAUUGACGGGGGCCCGCACAAGCGGCGGAGCAUGCGGAUUAAUUCGAUGCAACGCGAAGAACCUUACCAAGGCUUGACAUAUACCGGAAAAGCGUAGAAAUACGCUCCCCGCAAGGUCGGUAUACAGGUGGUGCAUGGUUGUCGUCAGUUCGUGUCGUGAGAUGUUGGGUUAAGUCCCGCAACGAGCGCAACCCUCGUUCUAUGUUGCCAGCACGUAAUGGUGGGAACUCAUGGAAGACUGCCGGGGUCAACUCGGAGGAAGGUGGGGAUGACGUCAAAUCAUCAUGCCCCUUAUGUCUUGGGCUUCACGCAUGCUACAAUGGCCGAUACAGAGGGCUGCAAUACCGCAAGGUGGAGCGAAUCCCAAAAAGUCGGUCUCAGUUCGGAUUGAGGUCUGCAACUCGACCUCAUGAAGUCGGAGUCGCUAGUAAUCGCAGAUCAGCAACGCUGCGGUGAAUACGUUCCCGGGCCUUGUACACACCGCCCGUCAAGUCAUGAAAGUCGUAACACCCGAAGCCAGUGGCCUAACCGCAAGGAAGGAGCUGUCGAAGG